GAUGAACGCUGGCGGCGUGCCUAAUACAUGCAAGUCGAGCGAACAGACGAGGAGCUUGCUCCUCUGACGUUAGCGGCGGACGGGUGAGUAACACGUGGAUAACCUACCUAUAAGACUGGGAUGACUUCGGGAAACCGGAGCUAAUACCGGAUAAUAUAUUGAACCGCAUGGUUCAAUAGUGAAAGACGGUUUUGCUGUCACUUAUAGAUGGAUCCGCGCCGCAUUAGCUAGUUGGUAAGGUAACGGCUUACCAAGGCAACGAUGCGUAGCCGACCUGAGAGGGUGAUCGGCCACACUGGAACUGAGACACGGUCCAGACUCCUACGGGAGGCAGCAGUAGGGAAUCUUCCGCAAAGGGCGAAAGCUUGACGGAGCAACGCCGCGUGAGUGAUGAAGGUCUUCGGAUCGUAAAACUCUGUUAUUAGGGAAGAACAAAUGUGUAAGUAACUAUGCACGUCUUGACGGUACCUAAUCAGAAAGCCACGGCUAACUACGUG
rnacentral:rRNA from 1 species